CCACCACACCUUGUCUGUGAUAUUUUCUACUAUCUCAUCUUCUCUCAAAACAAAUUGGAAACUCAUUUCAAUCAAGCUGGUGGCAUUCCAGUAAAGAGAAAAAGGGGAUCUGAACAACUAAUUUCACCACCAUCUUCAAUGGUGUAGAAUUUCGAUUUGAGAAGUGUAAAUGGCGUUUUCUUCGUUGUUUCUCGGCAGAUGGAGUUCAAGCAAUAGUAAUCAAAGGUGUUGUGUUGAUUCAGUGAAAUGAGUGUUCUUGAUGGGUGAAUUAAUUGAAGACAGUGGUGAGCUUUGUUUUCUCAAACUAAUGGGUGGAUGCUGCCAGAUUUGGUAAGAUGGGUUGUAGAGAGUUAGGGCAUGUUCUUGGAUACUGAAUUAGUGGAGGUGUCGUCGAUUCAUGGCUGCAGAUGAUGGGUGUUGAUCGUGGUGGUUGUAUGCGGCUGUGUAAUCAACUGAAACUGAGUUCGAUUAAGGGUUGAUUGCAACCGGUGGUUAGAAGCAGUUGAAUCGAUUAGUAGUUCUAGAAGUGGCUGCAGUUCUCGUACACAGCAACAGUUCGUUAUGGGUUUGAACAAGGAAGAACUGGUGAUGGUUCUACAACAACAGCAACAAUUUUGGGGGUUCCUACAUGAUCAAAAAUUGGGUUAAUCCAAACUCUCGAGAAGAUCUAAAAGGCAGUAGUGAUUGUUAGUGACACUGGAAUCUGGGGUUUUGUCUAACGAUGCUGCUGAUGGUGCAGUUAUCUUCCAUGGUGAAAUACUUGCUAGCAGUGGGACUGAACUGAAGUUUGCUGUUGGCUGGGGAGAAUGCAUUUGGUUGAGCCAGGUGCUUACAAGAACAUGGAGAAGAAGAUAGGGUCUGUUGGUUUAACUGGAUGGAGAAUGAACUGGCAGUAUUGUGGUUGCAUCGGUUUAAUGGGUCUGAAAUGGUCGCGACAAGUGGUGCUGGUGUCAUGAGUUCGAUCUACAUUAUGUACCCGACUGUUUGAGCUGAGAAUGACUUAGGUUGGGUUUGCACAGCACAACAACGCACAACAGAAAAAUGCUUUUACAAAAGCCGCAGCAAUACCAAACUAAACCUUAUUCAACAACAACAACAACAACAACAAUGGAUUUUUGGUGGUGGCCGUAUAUAGAAGUUGAGUCGAGAAGGGUGCGGACCAUAAUAUGGUCAGAAUCAAAAUUGGUGUUGCUUCUUUCAAGUCAAAUACAGGUAACUGAUUUCAGUUGUGGUAGGCAGGAAUAUGUGGAAGACUUACAGCUAUAUGGAGUGUUUUCCCCAAAUUUAGGAAGUGUUUGGAUUAGUAGAGAAGAAGUCAAGUUGUUGUAUAAAAGGAGAAGAAGAACCAACCAAGGGUACCCCUGAUUUCUAAAUUCUCUUUACUCGAAUUUCUUUAAUUAGUUCUCUUUCGUGUUAGAUUAUUCACUCAAUAAUUUUUAUGGCGUUCUACACAACUAUGAAAAGCUAAACCCCUCUUUGCCAAGACAAGAGGGGAAGGUUAAUGGGUUCAAUGUUCUUAAGUUAUCAUCAAUAAAUCAUUUUAAUGCUUAAUCCAUUUCA